UACGUAGGGUGCAAGCGUUGUCCGGAAUUAUUGGGCGUAAAGGGCUCGUAGGCGGUCCAUCACGUCGGGAGUGAAAAGCUGGGGCUUAACCCCAGUCCUGCUUCCGAUACGGGUGGACUAGAGGUAGGUAGGGGAGAUCGGAAUUCCUGGUGUAGCGGUGAAAUGCGCAGAUAUCAGGAGGAACACCCGUGGCGAAGGCGGCUCUCUGGCCUGCAACUGACGCUGAGGCGCGAAAGCGUGGGGAGCGAACGGG
rnacentral:rRNA from 1 species